CUUUCCUGGUUAGUUUGGUCUGCGCUUUCCAGAGAGAACAUCACGUGUACAUAGCGAUGGAGUUUGCUGCUGGGGGCAGUUUGGCUUCCCACUUGGGCAACGGAGCCCUCCCCCAUACAAGCACUUUAUUUUAUUCAGCCUGCAUUGUACUUGGAAUUAAGUUUUUACAUGAGAACCGAAUCGUCCACAGAGAUUUAAAGCCUGACAAUAUUGUUAUAGACGGUGCCGGAUAUGCACAACUUGCAGACUUUGGAC